rnacentral:misc_RNA from 1 species
CGUCGUUCUCUCCGUGAAAUCACUGAUAGAGGAGAGAUUCACUGAGAUGUAACAAUAAUAAACUUUACAUUAAAUACGAUUAGAAUCUAGCUAUUUUUUUUCUUUUUUUUUUUUUAAAGGACUAUGCGGAGUGUUACAGUAAUAGAAAUAUUUAUUUUCCAAGGAGAAGGGGUUCGUCUUGCGGGAUACUUUCUGGAAAAAUCGAGGGUGGGCCGUGUCGAAGGGGAACGGGGAUGAUGGAGGGACAAAUAGGGGGAAGGGAAAUAUAUUUUUUUUUCAUUUGAAGUUUCAAAGGAUAACAUCACAGCAUUGACAUAUCAACAUCGAAACGAUCAAAGCAUCGCGCUCCUCGAGACUCGUCAGCGACGAAAUUAAUCGUCGUUCAAGUCGAUCAAUCGUGUGUUUCCUAUCUACUCCUUCCGAUUAUUAAUUUCGAAGUUUCUUCUGCCGAAGUUGAAUCGAUUAGAGGUAAGAAUUUUGUUAACCGUCGAGGAACUCUCGAAGGGCGCGCUGCCACGGCCGUAACACUUUUCAUUUUUGCUAUAGAACAAUUUACAACAUCUCGUUUAAUUAAUCACCUCAAUUCCGUCUCCGAAGAACCGCAGCUCGUGCACACUGAACCGCAAAUUCUCUCGUUCUCCUCUUUUCCUCCUUUCUUUUUCUUUUUUUCUUUUUUUUUUGUUCUUUCGUAUUUUCUUUCUCUCUCGUAUAUCGUUUCUGUCUCUCUUAUUUCAUUUUGUAUUUUUUGUACGACGAGCCGACGAUCUCCCUCUCUCCGGUCUGUGUUUUCAUUGUCGAGACAUCGAUCGGUCGAGAAUUGCCGAACUGGUCGGUACACCGUGGUUUUCGGGGCGGAAAGAAAGAAGGACGUGCUAG